UGAAGAGCUCCGGGUGGGUGGUAUUGAAACAACCCAAACCCCCAAGCCCCACAAGGUUCCUGCCCAAAUCUUGAAGUUUGGUUGGAAAACUUAAACACCCUCAAGGGGAUCACUUGGAAAUGAUGAUCUAGCAAUCACAGAGGGUGCCAUCAGCAGAUGCCCUGUAUAGCUACCACUACCCACUCUAGAUGUCAUGGAGAGGCUGAGAUGGCCAUGAGAUGGACAGUAGAUCAGAGGACUCAGAAGUACUCAAAUCUUUCCCAGCCUCCCAGCCCCUCAGAGAAAAAGGUAAAGCAAAGUAAUAAGAUGCCUUGUUGCUGGCUGGAGCUUUGACCCCAAACCUGGGCAGCCACACCAAAUGACCUUCUUCCCAGACCUCAGAGCCCUGGACCCAAGGCCCUUUACCCCCUAAUGCCAGCCCCAAGUCUCAGGUGAACAGAGGCCAGCACAGAAGCAGUGGGGGCCCUGGCGUGUGGGCCCAUGUGGCCCAGGUCGCCUUCCUAGAACAGAUUCACUCUCACCUUGUCUGAAUGGAGCAGGUGGGGCCGAGGGAAGAAGAGGAUGAAGGAAAGAGCUGUCUAGGGCUACUUGCCACAAGUGAGGAGUGAGGGCACAUCUGUUUUAAGGGAGAGCCAUCCAUGGGCCUUUCCUCUCCGGGCUGAGCCCCCAGCUCAGCACUGUUCUGGCUUGGCCUGAAAGUGUACCAAGUUUUUUAAACAAGCACAGGGACCCCACCCACUAGCACAUUUGCCCAAACGACAUCCUUGAUUUAGCUUAGGAGGGCAAUGGGAAGGGAGAAGGAGAACUUUUUCCUCUUUGGGCCAAGGGCCACACCUGUACCUCCCUGCCCUAACAUGCCUGGCUUUUUUUUUUUUUUUCCUUCAGACUGCUUCCAUGUGGUGAUCCUGGAGGCCAUUCUCUUUUUGCCAACUUUUCUGGGCUCACUAUGGAGAAUCAGGUAGCAGACAGCAAUAGGCACAGACACAGGAGGGCACAAGGCUCUGCAGUGCCUGCCUUCUUUUCUUAGAGGUGGUCCAGGAUGCCUGGUGACCUCUGAAACUGUGGUUUUGUGUCCUAAUUCAGUGAUGUUCUUUUCCCACAUCUCAGAUUUCUCCAAUUUCUCCAAACUACCCCUCCCCCAAAUAUAGAUGUAUAUUACUCAGAUAAAAUGUAAUUGCAAGGCAGUUGGCAUAGUAGAAAAGUGGCAACUCUGGGCUCUGCCGGAUCUGGGCUGCAGCCUCUGUUCUCUCACUUCCUGGCUGUGAGAGCUGGUCCUAGCUCCUUGGGCCUGGGUUGCUCUCAUUUGCAAGACAGGAGCAUUGUCUUCCCCGGGUGGUUGUGAGAAUCACUGAUGCCAUGUGGG
rnacentral:lncRNA from 1 species